GCUAUGGUGGUAAUUUUAUAGGGCGAGUUGGACUUUGUCAAAGUCUCUGACUAAAUUGGUGGGUCCAAGUGUUAUAUUUAACAGAAAGGCCAGUUUAUAAAAGAUUUAAUUUGUGUGGCAGGUUUAUUAAAUAUACGGCAGGAAGUUGGUCAGUUUAUUAAUUUGUCCUUUGUUUAUUAAUUUUUUUAUUUUUACAGUUACCGGUUAUUAUUUAACCGUGCAUUACGUGGAUUUUGGGAUAGCAGUGCAGACACCGUAUAAGUAUCGGGAGCAUAGGCAUAACAGAUUUGUUUCGGUUUGUGGACAUCCAUUUUGUGAUGUCCCGACUUUGAAUAUUUGUAUCUGAUUAUACAAGGAUUAUACGAUGAUUAUUAAAAUAUUAUAUAGCGACUAGUGAAAUAUUUGUUCCUAAUCCUCCCUCGAUGUCUAGAUGGGUUUUUUUUAAUGAGAUCUCAUCUUCCUCUUCAAUCUUUAUCACUGAUUUUUCUUCUUCUUCCCAUUCCUGUCCUUCUUCUCAUUCUUAUUUCUCUUCUUGGUUUCCUUCCAUCUUCUAUUCCGUUACAAUCAUCAUUCAAUCUCUUCAAGAGAGGCAACUAGGGAGAUUUAUUUUCAGGAGUGAAACAAGAGCAGGUCUUGCAUUUUCUCUCUUGUGUUAGCGAGGAAAGAAGCAUUGCAAUCAUCGUUGAUCCAGAUGAUCUUUGAAGGAAAAUCAAAACCUGGGUUUCGGAUUUUGAUGUUCAAAUGUGGUUCCUUUUUGAGUAAUUGGUAGGAGGAUUGAUGAUUUUUGUGUAUGUGAUUGUUAGAAGAAUUGGGGCUUUUGAUUUAAGAAACUAUUAUCUAGUGAAUUGAGAUAGGCUGAAAGAAUGUACUCUUUGGGAGCAGAUACUGUGUCGGAAUCAUCGAAUGGAGCUGCUAGGGUGUUAAUUCAAUUCCAGCAUGUUUCGUUUGGAUUGGUGGAUCUUUUACAAGGUUCAUAAUGAUGAUGAAGUGAAAGCUUUGUUCAAGCAAGUGCAGGGAGAAGUUCCUGGAUCUCCGAUUCUUAUAGCGAAGGUUGCAUCACAGCUUUGCACAGCCGUGAUUGUGGUGUUCAGAGAAGGCAUCGAAAGGUAGAUCGUUUAGUGUUUUUCUUUGGUGGGGUUUCUCUGAUUAUCAAGAUUAUUGAGGAAGGUCCAAUUAUAGUAGCGCCAAUGGAGACAGUAAAGAAGCUCGGGCAGGCAGCUCGAAGGCUUGCUAAAUGUGUGAACUAUGUUGGAGCUGCUACUGUUGAGUAUCUGUAUAGUAUGGACUCCGGGAAGUACUAUUUCUUAGAGCUCAACCCGCGGUUACAGGUUGAGCAUCCUGUUACUGAGUGGAUAGCAGAGGUUAAUCUUCCAGCGGCUCAAGUUGCAGUGGGGAUGGGAAUUCCUCUCUGUCAAAUUUCUGAAAUAAGGAGAUUUUAUGGAGGACUAUAAUGGUGGAUAUGAUGCUUGGAGGAGAACAUCGAUCGUUGCCACUCCUUUGAUUUUGACAAAGCUGAGUCUGUAAGGCCAAAAGGACAUUGUGUUUCUGUAAGUGUAACAAGUGAAGACCCAGAUGACGGUUUUAAGCCUACUGGUGGGAAAGUACAGGAACUGAGUUUUAAACGCAAGCCAAGUUCAUGGGCGUACUUCUCUGUAAAGUCUGGAGGAGGUAUUCAUGAGUUCUCGGAUUUUCAAUUUGGUUCAUUAAUCGAGAUGGUAUUGACUUUACAGAUGCCCAAGCAUGCAACCUGUUCAGGCGUGGGAGCUCAAAAUUUGCAAGGCAUAUUAGAGUACCAAAGCCUACAUCCUGCACAUAUUUUCGCAGAAUUGUGAAAGGGGACCCCCCCAGUAGCUCUGCAGCUCGUAGGAUCGUGAAGGGGAAUCACCCCGUAGCCCUGCAGCCGGGACAUGGAGUACGUGGCCCCAUCACCUACAUGGCCGCGAAUGCGUAAUCCCAUGGAAGUGAUGAGAUAUUAUUCCCUCUGUGCCGAAAACAAACAAGAAACUAAUAAGACACCGUACGUGUUAAGGAUUACUCUUACCUUCGGGUGAGUUGCGUCUCGGCCAGCAGACAGCCGGUGUAAAAACUUUGUCGCACCCUUGGGGAUACGGCCUCUACGAGACACUAUCCCUGCUCGACCUGGUACUUGCUACUGGGAAAGAGCUUUGGUUUUGGUUUUGGAUUAGAGUACCAAAGCAGAGCAUGGUGGCAGAGUGUCAGCUAAUCUCAGUUGUUACAUCUCCUAAGCUGUUUGCCUAUUAAAUAUUAUCAUCAUCUUGUCAAAUUUAAUUAAAUUUUCAGAUUGGGUAUGGACAACUUCCCUUGUCGUUUCCGUUUUUGCCAAUCAAUCAGAGCCAUAAUUAUCUCGAUCUGUUGUAUUUGUAUAUAUACAGUUGGGCAAUGGUGGAGAGCGCCAAAUACUGCUCACAGCUACUAUUUGUUGUCUGUAUCAAGAUUUUAUUCUGGUUUACACAUUUGUUCUUUCUUUGCCUUCUCGUGAAUUUGUAGUGAUUAGUUCCAUGAUGUUAUUCUUUGCCUUUUUGUGAAUUUGUAGUGAUCAGUUCCAUGAUGUUUCUGGAUGUAGAGAUACUUCUAAAGGAUACGCAUCAUACAGGAAUAUCUUGAUUCAAGUUCAUAACUGGAUAGUAUUUCACCAAAACAAGCUCUACUGAAUGUAUAUCACUAAAAUACCAGGUAUGAAAAACAGCAGCGGUGCGAUGAGGCUCUCAAGGCAUAUACUGGAAAAGCAUCUUAGGCAGCAAGCCCCAUGUACAACAGCAGCGGUGGGAUGAGCUUUUUUGUAUAACAGCUCAAAGUAAUUUAUAAAAAUGUUACAGGCUAUGAAUAUGACCGGUUUUGGCUCAUUAACAGUGUUGGGUUUUGGUUGAGAUGACUUGAAAAUUAAGAUGAUUUUGAUUUGAUAGUGCAGAAGUGGGAAACUAAUAGUUUCUUCUCGCUCUCUUUUCUUGAUUAAUUUCUCUGAAUAAUCAUCUCUCUCUAUUACAAGGUCAAUAUAAGCCCUUACGGAUAAGACGAUACGUGGACUAGGUAUAUACAAGUGGACUAGACGAACCGAGCUCUUAGAUAACUUAAAAACAACCUAGAGACGUGGUGGGUCCAAACCGGGCCCCUGCAAGUUCACGGAGGUGGGGUCCAAUGGAAUGUGUAUGUUGUUUUAAUAUUGUUCAAAUGCUCGGUUCAUUUAGAACCAUUGGAAAAAAAAACGAAGAUGAUAAAAAGCCCAUUCACAGAUCCAGAUGCUGAGAACUUUGAUCUCUUCCGCUCAUUUCUAUAUCGGGAUGUUUUGCGGGAUAAACAAGUGGUAAAUCUAGGGCUGCACAGCGGGUAGGGUGUAGAGCUGGCAAUCCGAGCCAAAAUCCGCGGGUUGGCCCGUCCCGUCCCGCGAAAACCCGUACCCGUCCCGGAUGGUAAGUAAACAAGACGGGCGCGGGUUGUACAAUUAGUGGCUUGUGAAGAAAAGGGUUAACCCGGCCCGUACCGUGAAACCCGCGGUCUGACCCGUAACCCGUAGAUUUAUACCCUGCUGAAACUGAAACACGUAUCUAGUUAUGUGUCACCCAAAUCUCCAUCGUAUAAAACGGGGAAACCCUAAGUUUUCCUAUCAUUCUUCUUCGACUUCGGUUGUUCUUCCUCUUUUUUUCUUCUUCCCCGACUCAGAGAGAGUCUCCUGAGUCUUGAGGCUGCAUCUCAUAUCUUUCCAUCAUCGACAAAUAUCUUAAAUCUCCUGACGCAGACGCACAGAACAACGGAACAACAAAUUGAAGAACUAUUAGAUCUAGAUCAAAGGAAUUUAAUUUGAUCUAAAGAUUCAAGGCUAGCAGGAUGUCAAGUGUACAAGAGCAAGAGUUACCAGAACCAGACCAUUUCAAGGAUGUUAUGAGUGCUGAUGAUGAAGAUGAUGAUGUUGAGAUGUUAUGAAUGUAUGAUACUAUGAUAGUAUCUGUGUGACUGUGUCUGUGUUUCUUUAA